rfam:Candidatus Contendobacter odensis Run_B_J11, WGS project CBTK01000000 data, contig: COMPJ11_2695_Contig_308
GGCGUAUUUUGCGCAGGCGGAGCUCGACCGCCGGUUCAAGCCAUGACGGCGUUCAUUGAUGAUCACCGUGAAGCCUACGGGGUUGAGCCGAUCGGCAAGGUGUUGCCGAUCGCCCCG